ensembl:lncRNA
CCAAAAAGCGAAAUUUCACGAAGAUUGAAGUGGAGACACUUGUGGGUGGGUGCAAAGCAGAGGCUGUCCUCACACCGCCAGAGCGUGACUGCAACUGGAGGGGGACCCAGUACUCCUGAACUAACACCAAUUGACACGAAAGUUGCAUCCAUAAUUGGCACCUCAAGCGUGAGUGGCAUCGUGUCCGAAAGGGAAGGAGACACUGACAACACAGAAGAACAAGGUAAAGCUGAUUUCAGUUUUUUAUAGAUUUAUUAUUAUUGAUCAUGUAGUGCAAGCUAUUUUGCUUGUGCGUCCUCCAGAGUCAGCGGUCGGUGGGGAGGAGGACGAUGAUGCCGGCGAGGGGCCCUCGGCCGCAGGUCAUCCGGCUGCCCCAACCCCCAGCACCACGCGUCAAUCCGCCGGUCGGGUGCUCACAGACGCAGUUCUGCAGCUACAGAGGGAAAUGCAGUCAACAACUUGACUGAGGAGAUGAGGAUCGUCCUGAAGAAAAUGGGAGCAGAACGUCCACCGGCGCC